rnacentral:rRNA from 1 species
GUUUGAUCCUGGCUCAGAGCGAACGCUGGCGGUAUGCUUAACACAUGCAAGUCGAGCGAGAAAAUGACUUCGGUCAUGAGUACAGCGGCGGACGGGUGAGUAAUACAUGGAUAAUCUGCCUUUAGGACCGGGACAACCCAGGGAAACUUGAGCUAAUACCGGAUAAGACCACAGAAUCUCCGGAUUCAGUGGUAAAAGGUGGCCUUCGGGCUAUCACCUAUAGAUGAGUCCAUGUCCCAUCAGGUAGUUGGUGAGGUAACGGCCCACCAAGCCGAAGACGGGUAGCCGACCUUAGCGGGUGAUCGGCCACACGGGGACUGAGACACGGCCCCGACCCCUACGGGAGGCAGCAGUGGGGAAUAUUGGACNAAUGGGCGCAAGCCUGAUCCAGCAAUACCGCGUGAGGGAUGAAGGCUUUCGAGUCGUAAACCUCUGUCAGUUGGAACGAUGGGUCUGUAGGUUAAUACCCUGCAGACUUGACGGUACCUUCAAAGGAAGCCCCGGCUAACUCCGUGCCAGCAGCCGCGGUAAUAAGGGCGAAU